rnacentral:rRNA from 1 species
AUGAACGCUAGCUACAGGCUUAACACAUGCAAGUCGAGGGGCAGCAUGGUCUUAGCUUGCUAAGGCCGAUGGCGACCGGCGCACGGGUGAGUAACACGUAUCCAACCUGCCGUCUACUCUUGGACAGCCUUCUGAAAGGAAGAUUAAUACAAGAUGGCAUCAUGAGUCCGCAUGUUCACAUGAUUAAAGGUAUUCCGGUAGACGAUGGGGAUGCGUUCCAUUAGAUAGUAGGCGGGGUAACGGCCCACCUAGUCUUCGAUGGAUAGGGGUUCUGAGAGGAAGGUCCCCCACAUUGGAACUGAGACACGGUCCAAACUCCUACGGGAGGCAGCAGUGAGGAAUAUUGGUCAAUGGGCGAGAGCCUGAACCAGCCAAGUAGCGUGAAGGAUGACUGCCCUAUGGGUUGUAAACUUCUUUUAUAAAGGAAUAAAGUCGGGUAUGGAUACCCGUUUGCAUGUACUUUAUGAAUAAGGAUCGGCUAACUCCGUGCCAGCAGCCGCGGUAAUACGGAGGAUCCGAGCGUUAUCCGGAUUUAUUGGGUUUAAAGGGAGCGUAGAUGGAUAUUUAAGUCAGUUGUGAAAGUUUGCGGCUCAACCGUAAAAUUGCAGUUGAUACUGGAUAUCUUGAGUGCAGUUGAGGCAGGCGGAAUUCGUGGUGUAGCGGUGAAAUGCUUAGAUAUCACGAAGAACUCCGAUUGCGAAGGCAGCCUGCUAAGCUGCAACUGACAUUGAGGCUCGAAAGUGUGGGUAUCAAACAGGAUUAGAUACCCUGGUAGUCCACACGGUAAACGAUGAAUACUCGCUGUUUGCGAUAUACUGCAAGCGGCCAAGCGAAAGCGUUAAGUAUUCCACCUGGGGAGUACGCCGGCAACGGUGAAACUCAAAGGAAUUGACGGGGGCCCGCACAAGCGGAGGAACAUGUGGUUUAAUUCGAUGAUACGCGAGGAACCUUACCCGGGCUUAAAUUGCAGAUGAAUUACGGUGAAAGCCGUAAGCCGCAAGGCAUCUGUGAAGGUGCUGCAUGGUUGUCGUCAGCUCGUGCCGUGAGGUGUCGGCUUAAGUGCCAUAACGAGCGCAACCCUUGUUGUCAGUUACUAACAGGUUCCGCUGAGGACUCUGACAAGACUGCCAUCGUAAGAUGUGAGGAAGGUGGGGAUGACGUCAAAUCAGCACGGCCCUUACGUCCGGGGCUACACACGUGUUACAAUGGGGGGUACAGAGGGCCGCUACCACGCGAGUGGAUGCCAAUCCCCAAAACCUCUCUCAGUUCGGACUGGAGUCUGCAACCCGACUCCACGAAGCUGGAUUCGCUAGUAAUCGCGCAUCAGCCACGGCGCGGUGAAUACGUUCCCGGGCCUUGUACACACCGCCCGUCAAGCCAUGGGAGCCGGGGGUACCUGAAGUGCGUAACCGCGAGGAGCGCCCUAGGGUAAAACUGGUGACUGGGGCU